rnacentral:pre_miRNA from 1 species
GGUACUUGAAGAGUGGCUAGCCCUGCUGUGUUCGCUGUAUCUGUGACGAAUCAUACAGGGACAUCCAGUUUUUCAGUACC